CAAUAUAAUAUCAAAUAUUGGACCAUUUCUGAUCUACAGAUAUGUCAGUGUCAUAUGAAUCAACUUAAUGCAUAUGCUUCCUAUAUGCUUUCCAUAUUGAUUUUAUUUCCCUCUUUAAAAUUUUUGUUACUUUAUUCUUUUUUUUUGCUCUUUUUUUUUUAAUUGAUUUUGUAAAAAUAUUACAUUAAAAAAAUAUGAGGUCCCAUUCAACCCUACCACCCCCACCCCAUGUUAUUACAUUACAUCUUUAGAGCAGAACAAAACUUAUUUUUAAUCUGACCACCAGGGGGAAGACUUCACCCAGAAAUGCCUUGUAAUUCACAGCAACUUCAAAUUGAUAGGGCUUGGCAGACUACAGAGAGGAUGUGGACAUCGGUUUUCAUCUUUCCACUGGACACUUUAUUGAUGAACUAUGCUGGUCUCUGCAGUAUUCCAUUAAACUCGGGAGAAACAUUUUAACUGAGAUGAUGUCUACAUUAGAGCUGCCUUUCACCCUUCAGCACGCAACCCGGG
rnacentral:lncRNA from 1 species